rnacentral:rRNA from 1 species
GAUCAUGGCUCAGGAUGAACGCUAGCUACAGGCUUAACACAUGCAAGUCGAGGGGCAACAUGAACUUAGCUUGCUAAGUUUGAUGGCGACCGGCGCACGGGUGAGUAACACGUAUCCAACCUUCCGUUUACUCAGGGAUAGCCUUUCGAAAGAAAGAUUAAUACCUGAUAGUAUGGUGAGAUUGCAUGAUAGCACCAUUAAAGAUUUAUUGGUAAACGAUGGGGAUGCGUUCCAUUAGG